CCCUUAGACGUUCUGGGCCGCACGCGCGCUACACUGACCAGUGCAACAAGCAUCCGUCCUUGGCCGACAGGCCCGGGCAAUCUUUGAACGCUGGUCGUGAUGGGGAUAGACUUUUGCAAUUUUUGGUCUUCAACGAGGAAUUCCUAGUAAACGCAAGUCAUCAACUUGCAUUGAUUACGUCCCUGCCCUUUGUACACACCGCCCGUCGCACCUACCGAUUGAGUGAUCCGGUGAAUUAUUCGGACUGCAACGCAACCAGUUCCUGGAUGCAGUUGCGGAAAGUUUUGUGAACCUUACCACUUAGAGGAAGGAGAAGUCGUAACA
rnacentral:rRNA from 1 species